rnacentral:rRNA from 1 species
CAGGCCUAACACAUGCAAGUCGAGCGGACCAUUCCUUCGGGGAUGGUUAGCGGCGGACGGGUGAGUAACACGUAGGCAACCUGCCUGUAAGAUCGGGAUAACUACCGGAAACGGUAGCUAAGACCGGAUAGCUGGUUUCUCCGCAUGGGGGAAUCAUGAAACACGGGGCAACCUGUGGCUUACGGAUGGGCCUGCGGCGCAUUAGCUAGUUGGUGGGGUAACGGCCCACCAAGGCGACGAUGCGUAGCCGACCUGAGAGGGUGAUCGGCCACACUGGGACUGAGACACGGCCCAGACUCCUACGGGAGGCAGCAGUAGGGAAUCUUCCGCAAUGGGCGCAAGCCUGACGGAGCAACGCCGCGUGAGUGAUGAAGGUCUUCGGAUCGUAAAGCUCUGUUGCCAAGGAAGAACGCCUCGGAGAGUAACUGCUCUGAGGGUGACGGUACUUGAGAAGAAAGCCCCGGCUAACUACGUGCCAGCAGCCGCGGUAAUACGUAGGGGGCAAGCGUUGUCCGGAAUUAUUGGGCGUAAAGCGCGCGCAGGCGGUCUUUUAAGUUUGGUGUUUAAGCCCGGGGCUCAACCCCGGUUCGCACUGAAAACUGGGAGACUUGAGUGCAGGAGAGGAAAGCGGAAUUCCACGUGUAGCGGUGAAAUGCGUAGAGAUGUGGAGGAACACCAGUGGCGAAGGUGGCUUUCUGGACUGUAACUGACGCUGAGGCGCGAAAGCGUGGGGAGCAAACAGGAUUAGAU